GCACAAGCGGUGGAGCAUGUGGUUUAAUUCGACGCAACGCGAAGAACCUUACCAGGGCUUGACAUCCCCUGACCGCGUAUGAAAGUACGUUUUCACCCUCGGGUGACAGGGAGACAGGUGGUGCAUGGUUGUCGUCAGCUCGUGUCGUGAGAUGUUGGGUUAAGUCCCGCAACGAGCGCAACCCCUACGUUUAGUUGCUAACGCGUGAAGGCGAGCACUCUAGACGAACUGCCGUUGACAAAACGGAGGAAGGUGGGAUGACGUCAAAUCAUCAUGCCCCUUAUGUUCUGGGCUACACACGUGCUACAAUGGCCGGUACAGACGGACGCAAAGCCGCGAGGUGGAGCAAAUCCUAAAAAGCCGGUCUCAGUUCGGAUUGCAGGCUGCAACUCGCCUGCAUGAAGUCGGAGUUGCUAGUAAUCGCGGAUCAGAAUGCCGCGGUGAAUGCGUUCCCGGGUCUU
rnacentral:rRNA from 1 species